rnacentral:rRNA from 2 species
CAAGUCGAGGGGCAGCAUAAUGGAUAGCAAUAUCUAUGGUGGCGACCGGCGCACGGGUGCGUAACGCGUAUGCAACCUACCUUUAACAGGGGGAUAACCGGGAGAAAUUCCGACUAAUACCGCAUACGUCCUCCGGGGGCAUCCCCGGGGGAUGAAAGAGUUAUCGGUGAAGGAUGGGCAUGCGUGAUAUUAGGUAGUUGGCGGGGCAACGGCCCACCAAGCCUACGAUAUCUAGGGGUUCUGAGAGGAAGGUCCCCACAUUGGUACUGAGACACGGACCAAACUCC